rnacentral:rRNA from 1 species
GGGGGGGGGGGGGGGGGGGGGGGGGGGGGGCGGGGGGGGGGGGGGGGGGGGGGUGGGGGGGGACGCGAGGGGCGGACGGGGGGGUGGCGCGGGGGGGAUCUGCCCUGCGCUUCGGGGUGAGCCUGGGAGCCUGGGUCUAAUGCCGGGUAGGAGCCAUUGUGAGGGGGCUGGGUGGGAAGGUUUUUCGGUGUAGGAUGAGCUCGCGGCCUAUCAGCUUGUUGGUGGGGUAAUGGCCUACCAAGGCGGCGACGGGUAGCCGGCCUGAGAGGGUGGACGGCCACAUUGGGACUGAGAUACGGACCAGACUCCUACGGGAGGCAGAAGUGGGGAAUAUUGCACAAUGGGCGCAAGCCUGAUGCAGCGACGCCGCGUGGGGGAUGACGGCCUUCGGGUUGUAAACUCCUUUCGCUAGGGACGAAGCUUUUUGUGACGGUACCUAGAGAAGAAGCACCGGCUAACUACGUG